rnacentral:tRNA from 1 species
CUUUAAAGGAUAGAAGU